rnacentral:lncRNA from 1 species
AAAUGUAGUAGAUCGGUCCCCCGGACGGCAACUAUCAAACGACCAGACGUAAAUCCCAGUUCUGUUUACUCGCGGUAUCAACGGGGCUGUUUGAAUAAAGCCAGAAAGGAAGAGCGGGAAGGAAAGCCCCGCGUCCGUGUCCUGGGGAGCCUGACAGUGCCCCUGGGUCAGGAGGCGACACUGCCCUGGGAGCGAGGCCCCGCGCGGUCCGGGCCGCCCCGACUCCCAGUCCCGCGUUCACGUGGCCACAGCCGCGUCCCGGGGGCCCCAGGCCUCUGCCUGGCAGGAGCUCACGGCCUCCGCGGUGUCCGGGGCGUCCAGGGCCACCAGCGAGGGCCAGACGGGCCGACGGCCCAGGUGGCUCGGGCACCGACUCGGCCUAAGGGGGCGACUGCGGGAGCCCCGAGCGGAGCCGGGCCCCGAGGCUGCAGCAGGCCCGCGGCCGGGGUGGGCGCCCCUCCCGGGGGAGACCAGCACCCGAGGGGCCGUCCUGGGCCACCAGCCCACGGCCGGAGUCCCGCGGGGAAGGACGGAGGGAGGGGACGAGCCCCGGGGCAGGGACGAGAACCGCGGAAGGCCGGGCGGCCCGCUCCACCGGACCCCACGAAGACCCCCGUGUCCCCCGAAGGCCCAGGCCUGGGCUUCCAGCCGCAACAGAGGCCGGUCCCGAGGACGGUGCCGGUCACGGGCCACCGCCAGGCCUCUCGGGCAGGACACAGGCGAGGCGCUCGGGGAAGAGACAGGCUCUGCGCCCCAACAGAGGUCACCUGUCCCCCGCCCCCCUGCCGCUGGGAGGUGCGGUGCUGGCUCGUCAGGGGUUUUUGUAAUCCCGUGGUUCCUGGGGAGUCUCACCUUAAGGGUACUGGUCACACCUGUCACCAAAUCCAGGGCUGCUUAGUAAUGUCCCCUCCACGGCCCGAGGCUGGCCCUUGGGCCGCGGGGAGGUCUGGGCCACGCCCUGGGCCCUCUGGCACCGCGACGCCGAGCUCCCGGCCGCCGGGACUCCCGACUUGUCUUGCCCCGCGUGGGACCUCCCCGAGGACACGCCAGCCGCUCCUGCGAGAGGUCCCCGCGGUCCGCGUCGCAGGCAUCGCCCACGGGAAGGCCCACGCCCCCGCGAGGGGCCCGGCCCACAGCCUGCAGCCCGCUCCCCGCGGUCCCCGUGCUCCCCGCGCUCCCCGUGCUCCUGGGGCAGCUGAUGGGCCACGAAGCACGUCCUGCCCGGGGAGAGCGCGGCGGCCGAGGCAAGGCCGCGGCGAGACAGUGGGCCUUGGGGCGGAGCGUCGGACAGCGGACAGCGCACACCCGCUCUCAGGGGUCACCCUUGCGGCCCCUCAGGCCCUGCUCGCCUUCUGGUGGCAUCUUCUCUCCUCGGACUUGCCCUCAGCUCGACUGGAAGCACCGAUGUGCGCGUGUCUGGGGUGUGAGGCUCUGGGUGAGGCCCGUGAAGUCCGCCCAGGCCGGUGCCCCGAAGCGCACGUGCGUGGGUCACAGGCGUCAUCCAAGGCUGCUGGGUACAGGGUCACGAGGGGCAAACAGUGCACAUGA